GACAGAGGGUGCAGUGUGUGAGGAGGGGAUGUGAGGAGGCGACGUGCGGCAGCGCACCCCUGGGAACUGCGAUGCACUCUGCUACUUCCACACUCCGGGGGUGGCGAGAGCUUCCUAACUUCCAACAGUGAAAAUCUCACUAAUGAAGCUGGGGCACAUCACUAGUAAGUACAGAGAGGAAACACUAGCAGCUGAAGAAUGGAAUGGUAGACCUCAUGCUCACAGCUUUAAGGACUACUCUGAUGAACUACACUGAAAAGGGGAAUCUACUUUUAAGAUCGCAAGUUGCAGGUCACGUUCCAAACUUGAGGGAAAAUAAAAACUACAGCUGGAAC